GUCUUAACUUCAACAGUUUCUUCCGUAGCUUCAAGCGUAUCAUUUCUUUGCUUCAGUGAAACACCUAAAAUAGUAUCAGGUACGGUUGCAGUAACAACAUUAACAAAUGGCUACAACCCCAUUUCCUAAGAGGGGUGGAAGAAAGACCACGUAUUUUGGCAAUUUGGUAUUCAGUGGCUUGGAUCCUUUCCACUUCAUGAACAAAUUUUUGGUACGGGAAUUUAUUUCUGCACUCUACAUCGAUAUUCUAUUCUAUUCUAUGUGAGUGAGGUCCCGCGGCGUGGCACGCCAUGGGUCCUAGGAUUUAGGCCAUAAUUGACCCAUUACCCUAACACCCGGGGUGCUACUGAACUCUACAUCGAUAAAUACAAAAUCAAGUACACAACAAUACUAAGUUUCAAAACAAGUUUUUACUCAUUCCAUCGUCAAAUACCUGUUGUGAAUGCCAGCACCGAAACAAAACUUAUUAAAAGUAAGAAACUCCUCA